GGGACGGGACCGCGCUGUCCGGGCCCCCGCCCUCGGAUUCUGCCCCAAACACUCAGCGAGCCCUCGUUCUUCACUCGCCCACUGCCCCAGUUCAGUCUCUCCUGUCCCCAGCCUGUUUUUGUUGUUUUGGCUGGAGUUCAGUGGAGCGGCUGCGGGAUGGGAUUGGGACCUGCCCAGCAGAGCCAGAUGGGAAGCUCUCAGGAAGAGGCUGCACACCUUUUAGAGGGUUUUUAACUGUUCAAAACUCGAUGGUGUCCCAGGGCAAUCCCAUGAAAUCCAGGAUCCAUCUCCCAGAAGAGACAGGGGCAGCCUGGCUGGGACAGGGGAUGAGUUCCCUGCUCUGUCCGGGCUUCAUGAGGCACCCGAGGGGAGCAAACCCCAAUUCCCACAUCCCGAGGGGCCGGCAAUAAUGGGAUUAUCUCUCCCCUAUCUCGGCUGGAGGGAAGCAGUACCUUAACACUCCCGGGGUGGCCAGAGGUCUUUGAAAAGCUCCGGCACUUGGAGGAAAUCGCCUCCAGGCAUCCCUUGGGUUUGUAAAUUCCGGGUUUAAGGCUGAAGGGACCCAGGCCAUUAUCUGGUGGCAGCUCCCUUGUAAAACCAUAAAAGACAACACAACCGCCUUGAGCGUUUAAUUUGCAGAAGCUCCUGGUGGCUGGAGGGCCUUCGGUAGAUGGAGAGCACAUCCCGGGGUCAGCGGCUCCCACGGGGAACGGGACAGCGGCCCAAGGGCUGCUUUGUUCCCGGCUAAUUACAGAGCUCAGCACUCGGGGUGUGGGGGGGAGGAAAGCGAGGGUUCCAGCCCAGAGAAGCCCUCCAGCCCCUCUGGGUUCCAGCCCAGAGAAGCCCUCCAGCCCCUCUGGGUUCCAGCCCAGAGAAGCCCUCCAGCCCCUCUGGGUUUCGGCCCAGAGAAGCCCUCCAGCCCCUCUGGGUUUCAGCCCAGAGAAGCCCUCCAGCCCCUCUGGGUUUCGGCCCAGAGAAGCCCUCCAGCCCCUCUGGGUUCCAGCCCAGAGAAGCCCUCCAGCCCCUCUGGGUUUCGGCCCAGAGAACCCCUCCAAGCACCGAGUUCACACCUCCACACACUCCUGACCAGCCGGGCUUCCCUACCGGCCCCGGGCUCCCAACCCGCCCGUGCUCCGAGGGCAGUGAGGAAGGACAUCCAUGGGUUCUGUUGUCCUUCAUUCCACCGGAGUCUGUCUCGUAGCUAACCAGAUUUCAGUGGAGUGAAGCACAAGAGGCAUGGAGCUGAGCCAGCACCGAGGAGCUGCUGCCCCCGCGGUGGGACAGCCCUGGAAAUGGGGGAGCGCCAGGCACAGACCGCGCUGCAGGGAGAGGAGAGCAGAGGAGCAGCACGAGGAGCUCUGCAGCGGCCUGAGUCUCUCCUGAUAAUCCCCAGUAGCACCCUCUGCCAGCAUGUGCUUCCUUUCUGCAUAAUGUGUAAAGAUUAAAAGUCUACAAAGACCACAAGCUGCUUUCUGGAAGGUUUAAACACCUUAUUAGAAGGAAAUUAAACCCUAAAGUGGAUAAAUGA